UACAGAGGUCCCAAGCGUUGUUCGGAUUCAUUGGGCGUAAAGGGUGCGUAGGCGGGUCUUUAAGUCAGGGGUGAAAUCCUGGAGCUCAACUCCAGAACUGCCUUUGAUACUGAGGAUCUUGAGUUCGGGAGAGGUGAGUGGAACUGCGAGUGUAGAGGUGAAAUUCGUAGAUAUUCGCAGGAACACCAGUGGCGAAGGCGGCUUACUGGUCCAUAACUGACGCUGAGGUGCGAAAGCGUGGGGAGCAAACAGG
rnacentral:rRNA from 1 species